rnacentral:rRNA from 1 species
UUAGAUACCCUGGUAGUCCACGCAGUAAACGAUGAAUGCUAGUUGUCCGGGGCGAUUGAGUUCUGGGUGACGCAGCGAAAGCGUUAAGCAUUCCACCUGGGGAGUACGCCGGCAACGGUGAAACUCAAAGGAAUUGACGGGGGCCCGCACAAGCGGAGGAACAUGUGGUUUAAUUCGAUGAUACGCGAGGAACCUUACCCGGGCUCAAACGCAGGAGGGAUGUUUUUGAAAGGAGGCAGCCAGCAAUGGUCUCCUGCGAGGUGCUGCAUGGUUGUCGUCAGCUCGUGCCGUGAGGUGUCGGCUUAAGUGCCAUAACGAGCGCAACCCCUACCUACAGUUGCCAUCGCGUGAUGGCGGGCACUCUGUGGGGACUGCCUGCGCAAGCAGUGAGGAAGGCGGGGAUGACGUCAAAUCAGCACGGCCCUUACGUCCGGGGCGACACACGUGUUACAAUGGCAGGUACAGCGGGAAGCCACCCGGCGACGGGGCGCGGAACCCGAAAACCUGUCUCAGUUCGGAUUGGAGUCUGCAACCCGACUCCAUGAAGCUGGAUUCGCUAGUAAUCGCGCAUCANCCACGGCGCGGUGAAUACGUUCCCGGGCCUUGUCACACCGCCCGUCAAGCCAUGGAAGCCGGGGGGUGCCUGAAGUGCGUGACCGCAAGGAGCGCCCUAGGGUAAACCGGUGACUGGNGCUUAGUCGUAACAAG